AGCGAACGCUGGCGGCAGGCCUAAUACAUGCAAGUCGAGCGGGUCCUUCGGGAUUAGCGGCGGACGGGUGAGUAACGCGUGGAACGUGCCCUUUGGUACGGAACAACUGAGGGAAACUUCAGCUAAUACCGUAUGUGCCCUUCGGGGAAAGAUUAUCGCCAUUGGAGCGGCCCGCGUUGGAUUAGGUAGUUGGUGAGUAAAGGCUCACCAAGCCUACGAUCCAUAGCUGGUCUGAGAGGAUUGACCAGCCACACUGGGACUGAGACACGGCCCAGACUCCUACGGGAGGCAGCAGUAGGGAAUCUUGCGCAAUGGGCGAAAGCCUGACGCAGCCAUGCCGCGUGAAGUGAUGAAGGUCCUUAGGAUUGUAAAAUUCUUUCACCGGGGACGAUAAUGACGGUACCCGGAGAAGAAGCCCCGGCUAAACUUCGUGCCAGCAGCCGCGGUAA
rnacentral:rRNA from 1 species